rnacentral:rRNA from 1 species
GGGUCAGUAGGUUGGUCGUGCCACCGGUACGUACUGGUCUCACUGAUUCCUCCUUCCUGAAGAACCGUAAUGCCAUUAAUUUGGUGUUGCGGGGAAACAGGACUGUUACUUUGAAAAGAUUAGAGUGUUUAAAGCAAGCUAACGCUUGAAUACAUAAGCAUGGAAUAAUGAAAUAGGACGAUCGAUCCUAUUUUGUUGGUUUCUAGGAUUGACGUA